UAACGACUCUCGGCAACGGAUAUCUCGGCUCUCGCAUCGAUGAAGAACGUAGCGAAAUGCGAUACUUGGUGUGAAUUGCAGAAUCCCGUGAACCAUCGAGUCUUUGAACGCAAGUUGCGCCCCAAGCCGUUAGGUUGAGGGCACGUCUGCCUGGGUGUCACG
rnacentral:rRNA from 1 species